UUUGCCUUUUAAAUGGAGGCUGGUAUGAAUGGCAAGACGGAAAUUUAGCUGUCUCUCUUUUAGAGCUUUGAAAUUAAUAUUUUUGUGAAGAAGCAAAAAUAAGGUCGCAGGACGAGAAGACCCUAUCGAGCUUAAGUAG
rnacentral:rRNA from 1 species